GACGAACGCUGGCGGCGUGACUAAUACAUGCAAGUCGAACGCAGUGGGGACGGGUGAGUAACACGUGGGUAACCUCCCAUCAGAGGGGAUAACACUUGGAAACAGGUGCUAAACCGAUACUGAUGGAUGGACCCGCGGUGCAUUAGCUAGUUGGUGAGGUAACGGCUCACAAAGGCCACGAUGCAUAGCUAACCUGGGGUGGUGAUCGGCGACGCAGGAACUGAGUGGCGGCCCAGAAUCCUACGAUAAGCAGCAGUGGGAGAUCGUCGGCAAUGGACGGAAGUCUGACCGAGCAACACCGCAUGAGUGAAGGAGGUUUUCGGAUCGUGAGGCGCUGUUGUUAGAGAAGCGGUAUCUAACCAGAAAGCCACGGCUAACUACGUGCCAGCCGCCACGAUAGUAC
rnacentral:rRNA from 1 species